ACAUACAACCAUACCUACUAGAAAACCCAGGAUCCCGUCCGAUCUCCUAUAGAUAAGCUAGCAAGGGCCCGCGAAGCGAAGGGCUACGCGUCGGUACGUGGGCAAGUGAUUGGUU
rnacentral:rRNA from 1 species